GUGGGGAAUUUUGGACAAUGGGCGCAAGCCUGAUCCAGCCAUUCCGCGUGCAGGAUGAAGGCCUUCGGGUUGUAAACUGCUUUUGUACGGAACGAAAAGCCUCUGGUUAAUACCCGGGGGUCAUGACGGUACCGUAAGAAUAAGCACCGGCUAACUACGUGCCAGCAGCCGCGGUAAUACGUAGGGUGCGAGCGUUAAUCGGAAUUACUGGGCGUAAAGCGUGCGCAGGCGGCGAUGUAAGACAGUUGUGAAAUCCCCGGGCUCAACCUGGUAACUGCAUCUGUGACUGCAUUGCUGGAGUGCGGCAGAGGGGGAUGGGAUUCCGCGUGUAGCAGUGAAAUGCGUAGAUAUGCGGAGGAACACCGAUGGCGAAGGCAAUCCCCUGGGCCUGCACUGACGCUCAUGCACGAAAGCGUGGGGAGCAAACAGGAUUAGAUACCCUUGUAGUCC
rnacentral:rRNA from 1 species